UCGCAGGCUAGGCCGGGGGGUUAGCCCUCCCUUGUGACUGUAAAUGGGCUAUACGAUGGGGCCGAAGCCCGUGAAGAGGUAUUGUGCAGGAUUAGCGGUCUUGCGCUGGACAGUGACGUUCUGUCCUGCAGGAUUGCUGUCAUGGGAACCGUAUCAGGCCAGGAAUGGAGCAGUACUAACCUUGGCGUGCAAUGCUUGGAGGGUAGCGGAGCAGAGGAAAGCUCGAGGGAAACCCGCUCAUCAGGCAUGGUAUCCAUUCAUGGGUGCGCCUGCUU
rnacentral:SRP_RNA from 1 species